AAUUUAGAAGUAGGAUAACAAGAGUUUUUGUCGAUAGAUAGACAUUUAUUUAGAAUAUUUGAUCAAUAGGUUCGUUUUGAAAAUUAGUUUUCAAAAAACUGCUAUUUUGGCAAAGUUACCAUUUUUGUAGACAAAUAUUGUAGAUUUGGUAUUUUGAUUUAGAAAUUAGGAUUACAAGUGUUUUUGUUGAUAGAUGAGCAUUCUUUUAGAAUAUUUGAUCAAUAGGUUCUUUUUAAAAAUAAUUUUUUUUUAAAACUGCUAUUUAUGGAAAGUUAUCAUUUUUGUAGACAAAUAUUGUAGAUUUGGUAUUUUGAUUUAGAAAUUAGGAUUACAAGUGUUUUUUUAAUAUAUGAGCAUUUUUUAAAAAAAAUUUAUCAUUAGAAUGUAUUUUUUAAAUAAAUUUUCUAAAAACUGCUAUUUUGGAAAAAUUAUCAUUUUUGUAAAGAAAUAUUGAAGAUUU
rnacentral:lncRNA from 1 species